rnacentral:lncRNA from 1 species
CUCUAUGACAGAUGGGUGCUGGAGUGUCUCUGCAACUUCCCCAGUCAAUAUUUCUGCUUCAAAAAGGAGUGCAUACUUCUCUCCACUCCAUGAACAUACAGGUGCAGAGCCUGUGGAGGACAAGAAGAUAGCUCUCCCUGUCUGCCAUAUAUAUCAUCCACACACUCACACACUCACACACGCACGCACGCACACACACACACACACACACACACGCACACACGCACGCACGCGUGCACGCACGCACAUGUGUGCGUGCGCGCACACACACACACCCCUGUCCUCUCAUAUCACUCUAUAUGACAUACAGUGCCUUCUGAAAGUAAUCAUACCCCUUGACUUAUUCCACAUUUUGUUGUUUUACAGCCUGAACUUAAAAUUGUAUUGCAUUUAUAGAUUAUUUUUUCACCCAUCUACACACAUUACACCGUAAUGACAAAGUGAAAACAUGUUUUUAGAAAUUGUGGCAAAUUUAUUGAAAUCUAAAUACAGAAAUAUCUCAUUCAUAUACACUACAGUUCAAAAGUUUUGGGUCAAUGUCCUUGUUUUUUGUCCAUUAAAUUGACAUCAAAUUGAUCAGAAAUACAGUGUAGACAUUGCUAAUGUUGUAAAUGACUAUUGUAGCUGAAAACAGCAGAUUUUUUAUGGAAUAUCUACAGAGGCAGAGUUGCAAAGAAAAAUCCAUAUCUCAGACUGGCCAAUGAAAAUAAAAGAUUAAGAUGGGCAAAAGAACACAGACACUGGACAGAGGAACUCUGCCUAGAUGGCCAGGAUCCCGGAGUCGCCUCGUCACUGUUGACUGUUCACUGUUCACUGAGACUGGUGUUUUGCAGGUACUAUUUAAUGAAGCUGCCAGUUGAGCAUCUGUUUCUCAAACUAGACACUCUAAUGUACUUGUCUUCUUGCUCAUUUGUGCACCGGGGCCUCCCACUCCUCUUUCUAUUCUGGUUAGAGCCAGUUUGCACUGUUCUGUGAAGGGAGUAGUACACAGCGUUGUACGAGAUCUUCAGUUUCUUGGCAAUUUCUCACAUGGAAUAGCCUUCAUUUGAUGUCUUCACUAUUAUUCUACAGUGUACAAAAUAGUAAAAAUAAAGAAAAAC